UGUUUGUAACGAACACAGGCAUCUUGCUGUGGGAUUAUUAAGCAACAAAAUCUCUCUUCUUUUCUAGGGCUUGUCAUCUUUUAGGCUGUGUCACUCAAGGUUUUGGAGAAGAAGCUUUUGCUGUUGUUGAGGUUGUUUGCCUGGAAAAACGCCGAAGCCUCACCCAUUUCGUGCAUAAUUACAGGGUGGGGUGCACAGGCGUGUAAGAGGAGAGAAUCAAGUACGAAUGUUGACAGUGGGGGAGAGAGAUAAUAUGAGAUAUAGUGAAAGGACUGACAGUGGAUAAAGCAGGAGUCUGGGAAGGAUGGAAAUUUUUCUUCUAUCGGUAGAAAUGUCAAAAUGGGGACAUAACAUUUGGGAAUAGGGACGGAGAAAGCACUUCAACUAAGACGUUUUAAGCUCAUUUGUACGAGGAGGCUUUGACAAUGGAAACACAUUUCAGGACAUCCUUUAUAUGCCAGGGGUAUAAAAUCUAGUCGGCUGGAAACCCCCAGCAGCCUAGAAACUCUGCACGUGACCACUGGGUGCUCACACUUCAUCUGCUUAGGACCAUCAGAAUUCAAGUAUGUUUAUUGGCCAAGGAGAAUCUCAAAAUGGAAGGAGGUUACAUAUGACCUGUGUGUGAGCUACAUGCUGAGAAUGCUAGUACUGAUGUAGACAUACGUAAGUAAUUAGGAAUGAGAACUAACCAAAACAGGAUGUUUAACUGAUGUAACUUGAAGAAAACUCAUAGGCCAAAGCUGCUUUGGAUAAUAGCAAGGACAGUUUGUGAAUGGAUGCACAUGCCUCAAGCAUGAUUAGUGUAAGUAUGUGAACUAUCUACAAAGCAAAGUGUAGA
rnacentral:lncRNA from 1 species